rnacentral:lncRNA from 1 species
AAUAUAAAUAAAUCUUAAUCAUGCAUAGGAAAUGAGGUUGGUACCGUGCUGGCUGGCUGCUGUUGAAGAUCUUGGUAGGGAUCCACAAAAAAUAUGCAGCAUUGGAACCAUUUGGACUGGUUUGUGGCUACACAAGGGACAGGGACUAUUCUUAUUUGGGUUUGACCAAGAUGAAGAUAGAACACAAAAGUGAAUGGUAUAGUGCACAUGCAGUUGCAGUAGUUGCAGGCCAGCACCCCAAUGGGUGGGUCUACCCCACAGGAACCAAGGGACCAUCCAAGUUGCAAGUUAAAACAUGUCUAUUUGACCUCAUGCUAUUAUUAUUUUUCUUCUUCUUCAUUUCUAUCACUUUUUUUAUUGUUCUACAAACAAUCAAAGGACACAAGACAGCUCAGAUUGGUCAUCCACGUGAUCCAAUCAGCGGUUUAGAAGUUCUAGGUCAUUCUAACAGCUGCACCACCACCUUCAUCUCUUCCUCUAGAUCUAUAUAUAUAUAUUGAACUCUUUCUUUUUUAUAAGAUAUUAGAUUCAUAUUGCAUAAAUUUAAAGAUAAAUAUGCAGCAUGGUAUAUAAGUAUUGAGACUGAGUUUCUUAAGCAGGUCGAUGAGGGUAUGUUUUCUGGUGAUUUGUUAAAUAGAUGCUUUGUUUCAGGGAAAAAAAGGAUACUUAUACACAUUUACUGCUACCACCAUGGUAAUUUUUUCACGUGUUUGUUUUGUAGUUUUGAUCUUUGGAUAUAGAAAAGUGUUCACUUCCGUGUAAAGCAAACAAAGGUUGGUUCUGUGAUGAGACAAAUCUGAUUAAAUAAUCUUUUUGGCCAACUAAUUUCAUAGAAGACAAAAUACUUUAGAAAUUCACAUGAGAAAGAAGAAAAGAGAAACCCAAUUGAAAAUGCUGUGAUAUGAUGCAUGGUGCUUUUCAUCUGAUCACAAUUCGCUAAAACCAAAUGAAAUGAGUUUGCAAGGAUGCCACUGUUUUAACUUUACACGCAGGUUCGAAAAGGAGAGCUAAGCAUUUCAAAAUCUCC